UACGAAGGGGGCUAGCGUUGUUCGGAAUUACUGGGCGUAAAGCGCGUGUAGGCGGGUCUUUUAAGUCAGGGGUGAAAUGCCAAGGCUCAACCUUGGAACUGCCUUUGAUACUGGAUGGCUUGAAUCCGGGAGAGGGAUGCGGAAUUCCAGGUGUAGCGGUGAAAUGCGUAGAUAUCUGGAGGAACACCGGUGGCGAAGGCGGCAUCCUGGACCGGCAUUGACGCUGAGGAGCGAAAGCCAGGGGAGCAAACGGG
rnacentral:rRNA from 1 species